GAGGGUAUAACUCAGUGGUAGAGCAUGUGCUUAGCAUUCAUAAGGUCCUAGGCUCCAUCCCCAGUACCUCCA
rfam:Camelus ferus unplaced genomic scaffold scaffold904, whole genome shotgun sequence.